rnacentral:rRNA from 1 species
AUUGAACGCUGGCGGCAGGCCUAACACAUGCAAGUCGAGCGAGCGGCGGACGGGUGAGUAAUGUAUGGGGAACUGCCCGGUAGAGGGGGAUAACUACUGGAAACGGUGGCUAAUACCGCAUACUAUCGGAUGAAUCUAUAUGGGAUUAGCGAGUAGGUGGGGUAAAGGUGCACCUAGGGGACGAUCUCUAGCUGGUCUGAGAGGAGGAUCAGCCACACUGUGACUGAGACACGGCCCAGACUCCUACGGGAGGCAGCAGUGGGGAAUUUUGCACAAUGGACUCAAGCCUGAUGCAGCCAUGCCGCGUGUAUGAAGAAGGCCUUAGGGUUGUAAGGUACUUUCAGCGGGUAGGCGUUACCCGCAGAAGAAGCACCGGCUAACUCCGUGCCAGCAGCCGCGGUAAUAC